rnacentral:rRNA from 1 species
UACGGAGGGGGCUAGCGUUGUUCGGAAUUACUGGGCGUAAAGCGUGCGCAGGCGGUUGUGUAAGACAGAUGUGAAAUCCCCGGGCUCAACCUGGGAACUGCAUUUGUGACUGCACAGCUGGAGUGCGGCAGAGGGGGAUGGAAUUCCGCGUGUAGCAGUGAAAUGCGUAGAUAUGCGGAGGAACACCGGUGGCGAAGGCGGAUCUCUGGGCCAGUAUUGACGCUGAGGAGCGAAAGCGUGGGUAGCAAACAGG